rnacentral:rRNA from 1 species
AACGAACGCUGGCGGCAUGCCUAACACAUGCCAGUCGAACGAGACCUUCGGGUCUAGUGGCGCACGGGUGCGUAACGCGUGGGAACCUGCCCUUAGGUUCGGAAUAACUCCCCGAAAGGGGUGCUAAUACCGGAUAAUGUCUUCGGACCAAAGAUUUAUCGCCUUUGGAUGGGCCCGCGUUGGAUUAGCUAGUUGGUAGGGUAAAAGCCUACCAAGGCGACGAUCCAUAGCUGGUCUGAGAGGAUGAUCAGCCACACUGGGACUGAGACACGGCCCAGACUCCUACGGGAGGCGGCAGUGGGGAAUAUUGGACAAUGGGCGAAAGCCUGAUCCAGCAAUGCCGCGUGAGUGAUGUAGGCCUUAGGGUUGUAAAGCUCUUUUACCCGGGAUGAUAAUGACAGUACCGGGAGAAUAAGCUCCGGCUAACUCCGUG